UUCAAACUCCAUCUCCAACAUCAUUUCUUCUUUGCAGCUGUCCCCCACAGGUCUCUCUGGCUUCAUACAAUGGCUGGCCUACAUCUCCAUCAAAGCACUUCCUCCAUCACAGGGCAACCAUCCACUUAGCUGCCCAGAUAGAGCUCUAUGAACUGCUUUGCUCCUCAAGGGCUUUUGAUUCGUUACCUGUUCCAGGGAAGUAAGCAUGCCCAGUUCAUGUGCCAAGACUCCAAGGGCAUUUACAGGAGAAAGCCAGCAACUCAUUGGCAAUCUGGGGGAGCCCCAGAGAAAAGAGGCCAUGGCCAAGGGCACUCAAGGGCAGUCAGCAGAGCCAGGGCUGGACCACUAGCUCCUGAUCCCCCAGGCCAGCGCACCCCAGGUCACCCAUUCAGAUCCAGGCAGCCUAAUGCCACAUAGGUGCCCAUGUGGGAAGGAGGCAGUCAGGAUAUGGGCUCCACCCUGAGGUUCUCUUAACAUGAAGGGCUGAAAAAGCACAAAUGGAUCAUUAGGAACUGUGAGAAAGAAGAUAUGUUGGCAGACACUAGAACCUUCCAUUCCAGUCUGUAUCUCUUGUCACCAGCACUGCCUAGUCAUUGAUCGUGGAAGGCUCCAAAAGAUGGUGGACCCAAAGUCGAGACUCUUUGCCAGCUCUGCCUCUUACCGGCUCCAGGAGGUCUGUUCAUAUUAACUCAUUCGGCCCAGAGAAUUUCCCAAAGAACUUUCUAGAGUGACUGGGGUAGGGGAGAAAAGGAGGGAAGAGGAUGGAGGCCUCUCAGCUUCUUUUGUCCUGUAUCACAGCCUGGCUCCCAGCAACACUUUUGGGAUGCCUCUUGUAG
rnacentral:lncRNA from 1 species